rnacentral:rRNA from 1 species
AGAGUUUGAUCCUGGCUCAGGAUGAACGCUGGCGGCGUGCCUAAUACAUGCAAGUCGAACGCGGGCACUUGUGCCCGAGUGGCGAACGGGUGAGUAAUACAUAAGUAACCUGGCCUUUACAGGGGGAUAACUGCUGGAAACGGCAGCUAAGACCGCAUAGGUAGGGACACUGCAUGGUGACCGUAUUAAAAGUGCUGCAAGGCACUGGUAGAGGAUGGACUUAUGGCGCAUUAGCUGGUUGGUGAGGUAACGGCUCACCAAGGCGACGAUGCGUAGCCGACCUGAGAGGGUGACCGGCCACACUGGGACUGAGACACGGCCCAGACUCCUACGGGAGGCAGCAGUAGGGAAUUUUCGGCAAUGGGGGGAACCCUGACCGAGCAACGCCGCGUGAAGGAAGAAGGAAUUCGUUCUGUAAACUUCUGUUAUAAAGGAAGAAAGACGGAUGGAGGAAAUGACAUCCGAGUGACGGUACUUUAUGAGAAAGCCACGGCUAACUACGUGCCAGCAGCCGCGGUAAUACGUAGGUGGCAAGCGUUAUCCGGAAUUAUUGGGCGUAAAGAGGGAGCAGGCGGCAGCAAAGGUCUGUGGUGAAAGACUGAAGCCUAACUUCAGUAAGCCAUAGAAACCGGGCAGCUAGAGUGCAGGAGAGGAUCGUGGAAUUCCAUGUGUAGCGGUGAAAUGCGUAGAUAUAUGGAGGAACACCAGUGGCGAAGGCGACGAUCUGGCCUGCAACUGACGCUCAGUCCCGAAAGCGUGGGGAGCAAAUAGGAUUAGAUACCCUAGUAGUCCACGCCGUAAACGAUGAAUAGUAAGUGUUGGAAGUCAAAUUUCAGUUGCUACAGUACAUGCAGUGUGUCCUCUGCCUGGGGAGUAUGCACGCAAGUGUGAAAAUCAAAGGAAUUGGCGGGGGCCCGCACAAGCGGUGGAGUAUGUGGUUUAAUUCGAAGCAACGAGAAGAACCUUACCAGGCCUUGACAUGGGAUGGGAAGAUGCAGAGAUGCAUCGGAGGUCAACAUCCACACAGGUGGUGCAUGGUUGUCGUCAGCUCGUGUCGUGAGAUGUUGGGUCAAGUCCCGCAACGAGCGCAACCCUUGUGGCAUGUUGCUAACAGGAAAAGCUGAGGACUCAUGCCAGACUGCCGGUGACAAACCGGAGGAAGGCGGGGAUGACGUCAAAUCAUCAUGCCCCUUAUGGCCUGGGCUACACACGUACUACAAUGGCGGCUACAAAGAGCAGCGAGACAGGGAUGUCGAGCGAAUCUCAUAAAAGCCGUCCCAGUUUGGAUUGGAGGCUGCAACCCGCCUCCAUGAAGUUGGAAUCGCUAGUAAUCGCGGAUCAGCAUGCCGUGGUGAAUACGUUCCCGGGCCUUGCACACACCGCCCGUCA